UGCACAAUUGGUGGUUGAAUAAGUACUUAUUUGCCCCACUGUAUGCUACUGCAAGUAUUUUCCACAACACAACAAAAGUAAACAGUUCAACUUUAUAAAGUGCGUUUAACACUGCAGCGUAAAAUAAAUCAAACUCUCACAACCUGAGACAACUGGUUAAGUAGAAAUAGGCUAUUGCACUUCAAAUAUUUUGUUCACAACAAAAGUCAACAGUAAAACGAUAUAAAGUGACUAUUAUGGUGUUAAAUCAAGUUUUGUAAUCCGAAAAAAAGAAACGAAAAAGUUUUAUUGUUGAAUCUUUCAAAACCGAAAACGUCGUUUUGAUUUUUUUCAGUUACAAAGUUGAUAUUUUCAGGUUCAAAGAUUUUUUUUUUCACUUUCAGAUCUUUUUUCCAGUUUCAAUUUUUUUUUUCACUUUCAUAUCUUAUUUUUUCAGUUUCAAUUUUUUUUUCUUCACAUUCAAAUCUUUUUUUCACUUUCGAAUCUUUUUUUCGCCUUCAGAUCUUUUUUUUUCAGAUUCAAAACUUUUGGCCGUGUUUUAACGUGGGGGGGCGCGGCCUCGACGAGAGGCUUGUUGACGUGUGAGACAGCCUAUCAAAGCAACCCCGAAUGAUGCUGCCUUCAGGAAACGUGGGUACUUUGAUGAAUUAUCACUCCACACUAUCGCCACUUUAUUUUCCGGAUGCAUGUCGCACAUCUCGCGUAGCCGCCAUAUGUAAAAAAAAAAAAACUACCCCACAUUAAUACAGUUAUUGCUGUUAAUACUGUACUGUUUUUUUUUUUUUUUUUUUUUUUUCAAACAAGUCGCAAAAACGGGGCCAGGAAAUUCUCUGUGGAGCGACUAGGACGUAAAAGCUAUGUAUAGACCUCACUCACAUGACGUCACAACCAUGCCGCCGCGCCAUAUUGUCCGUCAGCUCGUGUUUACGCAUUACCACUACGAAAAUUCCUCCUAUUAUGGCGUGUUUUUGCUCGUUAACAUUAAUAAUCAAAAUGGUGAAGGCAUUGUGUGACGUUGGUGAGUGGGGUCUAUUCAACUGAGAUAAGCUCACUCGAAAAGGCUGGGAUUUAUCGCAGCAGAAAACAAUGUAAGGAGAAGAUGAAGAAAUUCAAAAACAGACCAGAGCGGGGCGAACAGGAAAACGAGCAAAUGGUAUGACACGCAAUACCACAUAUUAAUUCAACUCUGGCAACGCCGCAGCAAAGGAGCUUUUGCGGUCAUUGGGUGAUACAUUUGAAAAACCCACCCUCCCAGGCUAGCUGCUUGAAGGUUGGUAUGGAAUAGGACGUAACUUAAGGGUGUAGCAGUUCGGUUUUGCAUGUUCGGUUCGGUUCACUUGCGUACACUUUUGGUUUUGUUUUAUUUUUCCCUAGUAAAAUGUAUUAUAAACGUUGCGUGGGGAACCGUAAUACUGAAGGUGUUUCUCUACGGACGCAUUAAGUGUCGGACAUGACUACUCUAAUUAAACUUACUAAUGGAGAAAGGUAAUCCAUAGUUAUGUCGACAUUGCUGUACAGAUAUGUCGACCUAGAUAAGACUGCACACUCAGAAAAUGAAUGCUGAAUCUACAUGUAAGAAAAUCAGCUACAUUUUGUUACAGCAAAAUUUAAACUUGAAUAAUUACAUUUAUCAUUUUCAGGUUGUUGCUGCUAAGGAUUAAACGCUUACAUUUGUGCUUGUUCAUAAUUUUUUAAUCUACUGGCUGUUACACCCUUAAGACGUAUUAUUGGUAGAUGUGAUAUUAAGAGAUGUGCUGAAAUGUCUUAAUCCUUUUAAUGUUACCUACUUGGUAAGCCAUACUGCCUGAAUGCUUUCGGAAAUGUUGGCUUUUUUAUCUUGAAAUUGCAUUAGCCAAAUGUAAAUAGAUGACGUGCGGUAUUUGUUUUGUUUAUCUGAAUUAAGGUUUAAUUCAAAAUAUUUCUCUUACCACCACAAACACCAAUGGCUUUGUCAAGCAAUUCCCUGGCCCCAAUGAGUGACAACCGCGAACCCGCAUCAGCAACUACCCACCAGUUUCCUGCUUGUCCGGAUUUACAAAUGAUCAGCCAACACCGCCCAGUUGCCAGCACCCUCGGCCAUCCCAGACCUGCAAAGAGAGGAAAGACAGACACACUGCUUGCUGCUGUAAAGGCAGAGCGAUGCGCGCUUUAACAGAAUGAUUCAGCUAUUCGAAGACCAAAUUCAAUAGGAAGAAGAAGAGUUUCAGGCUCAACGGUCAGAGUUAGCAGAGGCCAUCCGGCAGUAGAGUUUCAUGGAGGGUCUUUUGGACCCCAUGAACAGAAUAGCAAAUCUGCAAGAAAAACCUUAUUUAAAAAAAAAUAAAUAAGGGAGAGUAAACUAAAUUUUGCACAUGUACACCUAUUCUAAAGUGUUUGAGGGACCUUUAAUUUAAAGAAAUUACUUUGAAUAACACAAGGUGGUGCUUUGUCUGAUUACUAGUACACCGAAGCAAUCCUUAACAUGUGGCAGGCAAUACAGUGUGUGAGUAGUUAACACAUGAGACCACACUCUAAAAGUUGGCCUUUUUUUUUUUUUUUUUUCCCCAGCCAGCUACAGAUGGAAAACAGGUUUAUAAUAAUGCACACAAAACAAAGGGGCAAUUUAUAAGACUUUUAUUUUUGCUUUAAAAAAUUAAAAGCGAUUACGUCAAAGCCAAGGUACAAUGUACCGAAAAAGUUUAGUUGGGAAAGAAAAAGUGGCGCAUCAAGGCUGAACGCACAGCUACACCUUCAGCAUCUGCAGCAGGAGGUAGAAUUUGAGUGUCUGGCUGCAGUAACAGGUUAUGCCUUCUCUCGCUCCACAUCUCAUUGUGGCUCUUACAGAGGUUGUGAAGCACACAGCACAUGAGCACCAUGGAGUUUAUCCUCAUGGCUGCAGUCAUUGCACUUUUGGAGCCACCUUACUUUAAAUCUGCCAAAAGCAUGUAUAACCAAUUCUCCACAAACUGCUCAUCUGUGAAACUGGGAAGAAACUGUCUCCACCAGUCAUCGGCUUUUUUUGGACCCAAACGGAUGGAGAGGAUCGUUGUGCAGUGAGUCGCAGUAAAAUCUGAAAUGCAAACAGAAACCCGUUAGUUUUUGGAGUAUUCUACGUAACACAAGCCAAAAACUUUUCUUCCAAAAGUUUGUUCAUAUGAAAGUACAUGAAUGUGUAUACAGUAACAGUAGGGGUUUCACGGUACACUCAAAAUUUUUGUUCGGUUUUGGAUGUGCUCGAUUCAGGUAAGUUUCCGUACAAUAAAGAUAGGAAAAAAUAUACUUAAUGCUUUUAUUUUUAAAAAUGUAAACAAUAUAAUUUGUGAAAAUAAAAGAGACACUUUUGGAUGAUAUUUCAGAUAUAUUUCACUCCGAAUAAAUCAAAACAAAAAACUAACAAUUAUAAAAAUGAUUUAUACACAGGUAUAAUUUAACAAGACAGCUAAAUAGUGUUCAAAUCCUUAUUCCUGAGUGUCCGACAAUUAAAGCAUCCCUGCGGGGACUGCGCGCAUCGCUUAGAAUGCGCUAGUAAUUUCAUGAGGGGUUAAAAUUCAUUAAAGGAAACCGAAAGUGAAGCAAAUCAAACAUACAACACCAAAACAGUUCAACACACCCACGUAAACCGUUACAUCAUUCUUAAACCUGUUAAAUAUACAUACACUUACCUGUUGCCUCUUUUGUCUUUUACUGUCUGAUUGCCUUUUAUCCUUCAUGAAACGAAGAAAUAUCGCUCGCCUUAGGAUCUGUCGUCUUCUAACGAAGUCUGUGUGCGUUUCAGUCUCUUUGCGUCGCUGCUGGGUGUGGCGAGUAAGUAGUGCGUCACUGGCGCGUUACUGGCGCAGAAUUAAACGUCACAUUGGGCGUAGUACCCAUGUGCGAUCACGACUGCCUCGCGAGUGUGGCGUCCCGAUUCAUCAAAGUACCCACGUUUCCUGAAGGCAGCAUCAUUCGGGGUGCU